rnacentral:rRNA from 1 species
AGAGUUUGAUCAUGGCUCAGAUUGAACGCUGGCGGUAGGCUUAACACAUGCAAGUCGAGCGAGAAAGUAUCUUCGGAUAUGAGUAGAGCGGCGGACGGGUGAGUAACGCGUAGGAAUCUACCUAGUAGAAGGGGAUGGCCCGGGGAAACUCGGAUUAAUACCGUAUACCUCCUAAGGGAGAAAGAGGGCCUCUCUUGAAGCUUUCGCUAUUAGAUGAGCCUGCGUAAGAUUAGCUUGUUGGUGAGGUAAUGGCUCACCAAGGCUACGAUCUUUAGCUGGUCUGAGAGGACGAUCACSCACAUUGGGACUGAGACACGGUCCAUACUCCUACGGGA